ensembl:snRNA U1 U1 spliceosomal RNA
GUACUUAUCUUGCAGGAGUGAUAACAGGAUCACAAAAAUGGUUUUCCAUGGGUGAGGCUUACACAUUGUACUCAAGAUAUGCUGACCCCUGUGAUUCCCAAGUGCAGGAAACGAGACUACAUACUUUGUGGUAGUGGGGGGUCUGUGUUUGUGCUUGUCCCUG